AUACGUAGGUGACAAGCGUUAUCCGGAUUUACUGGGCGUAAAGGGCGUGUAGGCGGUCUUGCAAGUCAGAAGUGAAAUUCCUGAGCUCAACUCGGGCGCUGCUUCUGAAACUGCUUUACUUGAGUGCUGGAGAGGAUAGUGGAAUUCCUAGUGUAGCGGUAAAAUGCGCAGAUAUUAGGAGGAACACCGGUGGCGAAGGCGGCUAUCUGGACAGUAACGGACGCUGAGGCGCGAAAGCACGGGGAGCAAACAGGAUUAGAUACCCGGGUAGUCCACGCCGUAAACGAUGGGCGCUCGUCGUCGGCGACAGACAGUCGGCGGCCAAGCGAAAGCGAUAAGCGCCCCACCUGGGGAGUACGGUCGCAAGUAUGAAACUCAAAGGAAUUGACGGGG
rnacentral:rRNA from 1 species